CAUUCGCUGCGAUUGUCACGGAUUUGGCCUUCACUGGUAGCCUGGUAACAUACACUCCCAGGUCUUUCUCUGCCUCUGUGGUGGAUAGUGGAGUGUUUCCCAUGUGGUAUUGGUGUGCUGGAUUUGGCCUUCACUGGUAGCCUGGUAACAUACACUCCCAGGUCUUUCUCUGCCUCUGUGGUGGAUAGUGGAGUGUUUCCCAUGUGGUAUUGGUGUGCUGGAUUUGGCCUUCACUGGUAGCCUGGUAACAUACACUCCCAGGUCUUUCUCUGCCUCUGUGGUGGAUAGUGGAGUGUUUCCCAUGUGGUAUUGGUGUGCUGGAUUUGGCCUUCACUGGUAGCCUGGUAACAUACACUCCCAGGUCUUUCUCUGCCUCUGUGGUGGAUAGUGGAGUGUUUCCCAUGUGGUAUUGGUGUGCUGGAUUUGGCCUUCACUGGUAGCCUGGUAACA